rnacentral:lncRNA from 1 species
UUUUCUUUUAAUAGAUGGUAAGUUAAGCCCAUUAACCUUUAUUAAUAUGAUCAGUUUAUUUUAAUCAUUUGUGCUCAGUUUUAAUUUAUUGCUUUUAAGCACAGAAACUGUAUAGUUUUUCACUCCCUUGUUUUAUUUACUCUCUUUUAGCUUAGUACUUAGUGUGAUUGCUUUAUUCCAAAGGUUUCUUUUUUUCCAAUGCUUCACUUUACUAAUUAGUAUCUUGAUAUGUAAUGAAAUCUUAUGAACAAGUAGAGACAUAGUCAAAUGAUAUAAAUGGAUAAUGUGCAUAAAACACAAUAUACAUACCAAUUAAAUUUUUUAAAAUAUACCAAAUUUUCAACAACUAAAAGAAUGCAAAUUAAUACUGAGUUAUGAACUUGAGCACAGAAAAUAUAUUGCUAAAAAUCAUGCAUAACAUGAUAAUAUGGAUAAGGAAUAUAUAUAUGUACACAAGCAUGUCUUGCAAUAAUAAAUAUGACCCUGUAGUGGGGAGAUACCCUUAGAGAUCCUGAAUUUGCUGGUCUAUGAAAUGAGUGUACCAAUAUUUAAAUCAGAGGGACUUUAUGAAUAGAAAUGAGCAAAACAAUAGAAGUAUAUGAUAUAUAAUACUUCAAUAUCUCUCUAUAUAUAUUUCCCUUUAUUCUCUCUACCACAAGAGAUGACUUGAAUAUGACUAUCUCAUAGAAAUCAAUUGUAUUUGAAGCAUAAAAAUGAAAUUUUUAAUGCAAUUUCUUUGGAGGAUGAUACACUAAGUAUGGUGGAAAUUUGGAUGAAAAUCAUCGCCUUGUUAUUUUUUAUUUGAGGCAUUCUUCUCUUUUUACCUUCCAUUUUGAUACUGAAACAAGAAGCUUCCUCUCAUGAUUUGUAUGUUAAAUAUCCCCCGAAGGCCCAUACACUAAGGGCUUUGUUGCCAGCCUUAGCACUACUGGGAAGUGAUAAAACCUUUAGGAUAUGGAUCUAGUAGAAGGAAGUUGGCCAUUUGGGGCCUGCCCUUGAAUAGAAUAUUGGGAUCCUAGCCUGGCCCCUUUGCUUUUGGAGACAGUGGGAAUUGAAGAGAAGCACUAAAAACACUUGAAAAUAUUUUUUUCAGAAAAUUUACUAUACAAAUGUAAAUAUAUUUAAGAAAAGAGAUAAUAUACUAUUUACACACCUUUAUAAACCACUUUUAAAAUGAUAAACAUCAUGAAGGUGAAUUCAUGCCAAUCAAAAAAUCUAUAUAAUCAAAAAUUAUCUGUAGAGACAAUAAUAGUCAAUUCAGGUGUGAAAAUAAUGAUAAAAUGCUUAAUACUUAUUGGGGCUUUCUCAAUUCCUGACACUAUUGUAAGUGUGAACUUUUACUUACUCAUUUCAUCCUUACUAUAACCUUAAACAUAAGGGAAUGUAGGCAGAGCCAGGGAAGAGUUAUCAAGUGAUAAGGCUUAUAUUUGAACAUAGUCUGUGUGACUCCUGAGUGAAUAUAUGUAUUGUAGUAUAGGCUACUUUUGCUCUUAUCAUAAGUGCUACACCUUACUGUUAAUCACAGCAAACAAAAAAAUAUGUUAAUAAAAAGUACUAUAUUAUAUCCUAGGACUGCUCUAAUAAUUUACUCCAAAUUUGUGGGUUAAGAAACUAACAUUUAGUCUCUUGCAGUUUUAGAUGCUGAAAGUCUGAAAUCCUGUGUUAGCUGGGCCUUGCUUACUUUGAGUCUCUGGGAAAAAUCUUAUUUUUUCUUUUCAUAGCCCAUGGAUACUUGAUGUUCCUGAUAUACAGCAACUUCAUUCUGAUCUCUGCCCCUAUCAUCACAUGUUAUUGUCUCUGCAUGACUCUAGCUUCAAUGGGCCACAGCUCUUAUUGACAGAGCAUAUUGAUUAGAGCCUACCCCAAAGAGCUCAUCUUAACUUGAUCACAUCUACAAGCACCCCAAUUCCAAAAGAGUCCACAUUCACAGAUAUCUGGGGUUAGGACCUUAACAUAUCUUUUGUGAGGAUAGAAUGCAACCAAAUAACACUAUAUUUGAUUUUUUUUCCAAUUGACUAGGCAGAAAUUUAAAGUAUUUAUUAUCAGUGUGGCUUGAAAUUUGCAGAAUAUUCACCCCUUGCAACCCUGUUCUCAAAGUCAGUGUCUUCAGUGUGGUUGGGUCCUAUAAUGUGUAAGUUUUACUUCUGCUUCAUUAUUUCGUAUAAUUGCAAGAGUAAUAGAUGUCGACUAUAGUUAAAAUUGGAUAUCAUAGGAAAGUAAAUAAAUAGCAUUAUCCUCCAAUAAACUACCAGAAAAGAAGGUCUGCUAAUGUUUCCAUCUAAAUAAUAGUAUUCUACAAGUUUUCAUAUGUAGGUACUUACAUAUUUAUAUAAUUUCCUACAUUUUCAAAUAUUUAUAUUUAAAUGCAUACAUUUAUAUAUUUAUCUACAAAUGAUAAGCUUUCAUCACACAUUUAUUUUUGUGAUAGUCUUGUCUCUAACAAUAUACCUUGCAGGUUAUUUAUUAUAAGUAAACCCAAGCCUCUGCUAUAGGGAUAGUUGAGAUAUGAAUAACCAUUAAAGAUGGAGAAAAAAAGAAAGAAAUGUAUGCUGUGUCAAAUAUUUGUAAGAUAUUGACCAUGUAAUGCUUAUAGCUCAUAAUAAGGUAAAUAUUGUGGCAAUAUUCAUUGCAUUGUUAAAAAAUGAGGGACAGAGAUAAUAAUGACUUUGCCCAAGAGUGCACAGAUAGUGAGUAGGACAUCUUAAAAUUGUACCCAAUACAUGAUACUCCAGAGCCUGAAUAACUGUUAAAGGUUUAUUGUUAAGUAAGAUAUGUAGUCUGCAAAACAUAUACAUUUUAAAAGGUUGUUGAAUUUAAUACCCAUGUGUUGGUAUAGCCAUACAAAACAGUUGACUCUAGUUACAAAAAAGUGGUUUAUGACCUUGGUGAGAUCAUUUUCAUUGCAGUCCUGGUGACAGGAGCCCAAGUACAAUGGGAUAAGGAGUCAGGGGCAAGUGAAGAAUAUUAACAGUAAUAGAAUAAAAUACAGGGAAAAAUAUAAAAGGUUUCAUGGAACUUUGAAGAAGAAGAGAGAGAGAACAGAAAAAGAGAAAGACAUAGUAGAAGUGAGAGCCUUUGGCUAGAUGGAGGAAUUUAAAAAUCUUCAUUUCCUUGUUACUUGAGCAAGUUUAAAAGUAAAUGUGAAGGAGCCAUCUCAUCCCAGGUUAACCUUUGAAGUUGUUCAUAUAUUCAUUUUUCUUCAUACCUUUUUAUUUUUACUUUAGAGAUAAUGAGAUGCCAUUAGUAGAAUAGCAUGGAUUAUGAGCUCAGUACAAAAAUUUCAGUUAUUAGUGAAUGGAAGAAUGAACAACUAUAUGUCAAGGAAAUUCUAUUAAUUCUUGGAUUUGUGUGAGGAAGCAGAUAUCUGACAUUCUGAUGCAUUGGGGCUAGAUACUAUCUCAUCUGAGGACCCUGCCCUGGUGAUGAAGUCCAGGUCAGAAUUUUCUACACAAAUGUUAACAUAUAAAAUGAUCCCGGAAUAAUUAGACAGAAACCAUGCCUUGCUUCCCUGGUGUGAUCUGUCACUCACAUGAGUUACAAGAUAUUCCUGUCUUUCCAGCAGGUGGAACUGGAUUUGGGACUUUUCAGAGAGAGGUACAAUGUGAAACAGCUCUUAUGGCCUGAUGAAACACUAAAAAGGAGAGCAACUAUUGUCAUCAAAACUUUGAACUCAUGGUGUAUCAGGGAGUUAUUUGUUUCCUUCAUCUAGAGGAAGGCUAAACAACGAGCAGUGAGUUUUUAUAAUGGUUACCUUAGACCUAAGGCUGAACCUCAGGUUGUUGUGGCAGUUGAUUAACAGAAAUGGAUAUCCAAAAUAUUAUGUUUCUGAUAAACUUUACUUCUUUUGUGAUAUGUUAUUAUUAGAUAAGAAAUUCUCUUUUUUUGAAGGUGAACCUUCAUUAUAAUUUUGACAGUAGUCUGUGCAUAUAUGUAUGUAUGUAUGUAUGUAGAUUUCUGAAGAUUUCAUCAAUUUUUUCUUGAAGAGAUUUCCAAGGGUAAUUUUCACAAUUUUGCUUGUCAAGCUACCUUGGAAUUUUGAGCCUCUACUUCAGUCACAUUAAUGAAGAUACUGAGAGGAUGUUGAUAUAAACCACUCCAUAAGGAAAGCCUUGCAGGCUGGUUUAGUGACUCUUCAUUCUGAACAAGGCACCUUUAUUUAUGUUGAGAAGUGUUUCUCAAAGAAGGUACCUGAAAACACCUUCUCCUGCUGCAGGAUCCCUUUGCAAGGAAUUCACUUUCUUUAAGCACCUAGAACAGGACUCCUUCAGCAGACAGCAGAUAGAUGUGCAUUGCAGUCCUUGGACUUUGUGACUAUCCCAAAACAGUACUGUCAGUUGGAUGAGUCUGUUCUGGGGUUCAUUUAGGAGGUCAACUGAUUAGCAAAUCUAAGUCAAUAUUACCUUUAUAAAAAUCAAGUCAAUAUAUUGCUUCUCUUUAUUCUUCAAACAUAUUGCUUAGUUGGUUUAAAGCUCAGAGUAGGAGCAUAUUUUAGCCCUUUAAAGAUCCUGUUACUAAAACCUUUGUCCUCCCUGAGGCUAAUCCAAUAGUGAGUCAAGGUUUGGAGAAAAUAAAGUUGUUUUAUUACUUUACUAGCAAAGGAGAAGCAUGGGGGCUCGUGCCCCAGAGACUGUGAUUCUCUCAGGGGAAACAGAGGGCUUUUAAGCUGAUGAUACAGUCUGUUUUCCAGCUGUGCCCUGUCAAGGGACAUAAUUCACUUGUAGCCUUUAGAGGUAGCCAUUUCUUAGAACUUCUGGCACUAGUCAUGAAUUCAUCCUGUGUUGCAUGAGUUUAAGGACAAAUAACUGGGCCUAGGACCGGAAGAAGGUUCAUCUUGCUUCCCUCAUGGUUAGGGAUAAGGAGAAAAGAAAGGAAGGAAAAAAAAACUGUGUCAGUUUUAAGAUAAGCCGCAGUGACAGAGCAGCAAGGAUUAUAUUCAGAGCAUGACGUGGACUCCUAUCACAAUCCAAAUAUUAGGAAGUAAAUCUAUAGGAAAAAACUGAGAAGCUAGUGAGACACAUAAAGGGGAGUAGAGCUUUGAUCCUAAUAUAAGACUUACCCCUUGAGGGCAAAGCAGACAAGUAUUCUGAAGGUCUGCCUAUUACCAAAAUUAUUGAAGGGAGAGGACCUGAGCAACACUAGUGUUUUCUUACAAACUUAUGAAUUAUGAUAUAUGGAUGUGCAAAGGCUUUUCAGAUGUCGGUGAUAGGCCUGUGCAUAGUGGUUGCCAUAGAAACCUGAUGGCAUUUUGGUGACCAUGACAACUUUUUAAUGGAGGCUGAUGUGAUUUGUUUUGAGAACAGGGACUCACUUCCAAGUGUUUGGUCCCAGUGAGGGUGUGGGUGCCCUGUCCAUGGUGGCUGAAAUUCCCUGGGGUGUUGGGAGAGGAAGAGAUCCCAGACUCUAAUCUUCUCAUUCCAACUUUGAGACUCAAUGCCCCCUAUCUCAAGAGGGAGGGUGAUGUGGGACCCUCCCGGUUCCAGCGAGUGUGGGGUCCUGCUCCAGGGUGUCCUGGACCUACUUUCCAUGUAAAGGCAUGCUGGAGGAUAAGACAGGGAACAGCGCUAGGUGACCCAGCUUCUCCUCCAUAAAAUGGGGGCAAGAAUAGUCAGCCACAGGAUUUCUAGGACCUGCAGGGUUAACACUUGCUCAAAUAAUAAUUAGUGAUACCUGUGUAUCUUUCUCUUGAAUGUUGAAACAUGCCAUUGGUUAGACAUUCUUCCUAGCAAUUUUAGAAUUUGGUAUGCAUUCUAAAAUGGUCACCAAUUUAUAUGUCUUAUAGUGAAAUUUAUUAAGAAGUUAGAAUUGGUCCUUGAAGGGUUAACUUGCCCAGAACAGCAAAAGAAAAAAAGCUACUUGUGUGUGAACUUCUGCAGAAGUUCCUCCCCUUACACACUGGGUAUAAAGUUCUGAAACUGCCUGAAUUGGGGUUCAGGGGGAUUAAUUUAUUACAGUGAGAGCUGUAGCCUCUGAACCUAGCUGCAGCUAAAUAAACUGUUUCCUGGGCUGGGGUGGUGGCUCAGCAGUAGAGCACUUGCCUAGCAUGUGCAAGGCGCUGGGUUUGAUCCUCCUCAGGACCACAUAAAAAUAAAUAAAUAAAUAAAAAUAUAUAAAAAUAAAUAAAUAAAGAUAUUGUGUCCAUCUACAACUAAAAAUAUUAUUAAAAAACAAGAACAAAAGUCAGAAUUAUAUCAAAUGUAAUUAAACAUGUAAAAAUGUCAGGAUAUGGUCUAUCUUAUGUGUAGAAGUUUUUAAAAAGUUGAUCUGAAUGUAGAAUAGUGAUCACUAGAGGGUUGGAAAGUGGGGAAACAGAUGGAUAAAAGGGAGGCUGGUAAUGAUCAUGUAUGCUGUAUGUAUGUAUGAAAUAUGGCAACCCUGUCAGCAUGUACAAUUAAUACAUGUUAAUAAAAUAAAAUAUUAAAAGAAUUCAAUAUUUUCAAAAAUAAUAAGUAUA